AUAUCACGUUGAAACACCGGUUCUCGUCCGAUUACCGAAGUUAAGCAAUGUUGAGCGUGGUCAGUACCUAGAUGAUACCUUCAGAAUGCCAGGUGCUGUAAG